rnacentral:rRNA from 1 species
GACGAGCGCUGGCGGCGUGCUUAACACAUGCAAGUCGAACGGUAAGGCCCUUCGGGGUACACGAGUGGCGAACGGGUGAGUAACACGUGGGUGAUCUGCCCUGCACUUCGGGAUAAGCCUGGGAAACUGGGUCUAAUACCGGAUAGGACCACUGCCUGCAUGGGUGGUGGUGGAAAGCUUUUGCGGUGUGGGAUGGGCCCGCGGCCUAUCAGCUUGUUGGUGGGGUGAUGGCCUACCAAGGCGACGACGGGUAGCCGGCCUGAGAGGGUGACCGGCAACACUGGGGCUGAGAUACGGCCCAGACUCCUACGGGAGGCAGCAGUGGGGAAUAUUGCACUAUGGGCGCAAGCCUGAUGCAGCGACGCCGCGUGAGGGAUGACAGCCUUCGGGUUGUAAACCUCUUUCAGCACCGACGAAGCGCAAGUGACGGUAGGUGCAGAAGAAGGACCGGCCAACUACGUGCCAGCAGCCGCCGUAAAAC